AGUAACUGCGAGUGAAGCGGGAAAAGCUCAAAUUUAAAAUCUGGCGGCCUUUGGCUGUCCGAGUUGUAAUCUAGAGAAGUGUUAUCCGCGCUGGACCGUGUACAAGUCUCCUGGAAUGGAGCGUCAUAGAGGGUGAGAAUCCCGUCUUUGACACGGACUACCAGGGCUUUGUGAUGCGCUCUCAAAGAGUCGAGUUGUUUGGGAAUGCAGCUCUAAAUGGGUGGUAAAUUCCAUCUAAAGCUAAAUAUUGGCGAGAGACCGAUAGCGAACAAGUACCGUGAGGGAAAGAUGAAAAGAACUUUGGAAAGAGAGUUAAACAGUACGUGAAAUUGUUGAAAGGGAAACGCUUGAAGUCAGUCACGUUGGCCAGGGAUCAACCUUGCUUUUGCUUGGUGUACUUCCUGGUUAAUGGGUCAGCAUCAAUUUUGACCGGUGGAUAAAGGUCAGGGGAAUGUGACAUCUUCGGAUGUGUUAUAGCCCUUGGUUGCAUACAUCGGUUGGGAUUGAGGAACUCAGCACGCCGAAAGGCCGGGUUUUUAACCACGUUCGUGCUUAGGAUGCUGGCAUAAUGGCUUUAAUCGACCCGUCUUGAAACACGGACCAAGGAGUCUAACAUGCAUGCAAGUGUUUGGGUGGAAAACCCGAGCGCGUAAUGAAAGUGAAAAUUGAGAUCCCUGUCAUGGGGAGCAUUGAUGCCCGGACCAGACCUUUUGUGACGGAUCCGCGGUUGAGCAUGUAUGCUGGGACCCGAAAGAUGGUGAACUAUGCCUGAAUAGGGUGAAGCCAGAGGAAACUCUGGUGGAGGCUCGUAGCGAUUCUGACGUGCAAAUCGAUCGUCGAAUUUGGGUAUAGGGGCG
rnacentral:rRNA from 1 species